rnacentral:rRNA from 1 species
UACGUAGGGACCAAGCGUUGUUCGGAAUUACUGGGCGUAAAGGGCUCGUAGGCGGCCAACUAAGUCGGACGUGAAAUCCCCAGGCUCAACCUGGGAACUGCGUCCGAUACUGGAUGGCUUGAAUCCGGGAGAGGGAUGCAGAAUUCCAGGUGUAGCGGUGAAAUGCGUAGAUAUCUGGAGGAACACCGGUGGCGAAGGCGGCAUCCUGGACCGACACUGACGCUGAGGCGCGAAAGCUAGGGUAGCAAACGGG